CCUCAGUAUUUCAUUUUCUCCAUUUGCAAAGUAAGGACAAGAAAAUUGGCUUCAUUUGUAGGUUUACUGAGAGAUUGGAUCUAUUACUGAUUGAAAAUAGAUCGGAAAGCCCAAGUGAGAUGGUGUUACCCCCAUAUAUUUAUUGAUUGAAUGAGUGGACAGUUCUCCACAACACCC